ACUUCGAUGGCCGAGAUUGAGGCAACAGACUGUAGAUCUGUCCACGGAACCUAUGCCCUCGAAGAA
rnacentral:tRNA from 1 species